UUUGGUGGCGAUAGCAAAGAGGUCACACCCGUUCCCAUUCCGAACACGGAAGUUAAGCUCUUUAGCGCCGAUGGUAGUUGGGGGUCUCCCCCUGUGAGAGUAGGACGUUGCCAAGC
rnacentral:rRNA from 2 species